GAGGGGAAACGGCAUUAUGUGCUUGCACAUUCUGGACGUCGACCGGCGCACGGGUGAGUAUCGCGUAUCCAACCUUCCCUCCACUCGGGGAUACCCCGUUGAAAGACGGCCUAAUACCCGAUGUUGUCCACAUAUGGCAUCUGACGUGGACCAAAGAUUCAUCGGUGGAGGAUGGGGAUGCGUCUGAUUAGCUUGUUGGUGCGGGUAACGGCCCACCAAGGCUACGAUCAGUAGGGGUUCUGAGAGGAAGGUCCCCCACAUUGGAACUGAGACACGGUCCAAACUCCUACGGGAGGCAGCAGUGAGGAAUAUUGGUCAAUGGACGUAAGUCUGAACCAGCCAAGUAGCGUGCAGGAUUGACGGCCCUAUGGGUUGUAAACUGCUUUUGUUGGGGAGUAAAGCGGGGCACGUGUGCCCCUUUGCAUUUACCCUUCGAAUAAGGACCGGCUAAUUC
rnacentral:rRNA from 1 species